rnacentral:rRNA from 1 species
UACGAAGGGGCGAGCGUUAUUCGGAAUCACUGGGCGUAAAGCGUGCGUAGGCUGUUUGACAAGUUGGAAGUGAAAGCCCAGGCUCAACCCUGGAAUUGCUUUCAAAACUGUCAGACUCGAAUCUCGGAGAGGAUAGCGGAAUUUCCAGUGUAGUAGUGAAAAUACGUAGAUAUUGGAAGGAACACCAGUGGCGCAAGCGGCUAUCUGGACGAGUAUUGACGCUGAGGCACGAAAGCGUGGGGGAUCAAAACAGG